rnacentral:tRNA from 1 species
GGAAGGUUCGCAUAGUGGCUAUUGCAGCGGCUUGCUAAGCCGUCGUUCCGAAAGGGGCGCAUGGGUUCGAGUCCCAUACCUUCCGCCA